AGCUGUGCCUUGUCUGGUAGCUCCACAUCGCGUUGGGUUAACAAAGCCCCACUUUCUCCACGGUGCUGCAGAUGGAGCCCCCGUCAGUCACAUGGCCACUAAUUAAUGGGGUGGGGGUAUUGUGAGAAGUCCAACAGUUAGGUGGUUAGACUUGCUACCAACAGCUCUCUAGCAGUGCACCCUCUCCCUAUUGCCUGUGAACACAGACUUAAUCAGAGCUGUGAAUUUCCCUGUCUGCUGGGCCCAGUCCUCCUGGGGUAGCUCAGUCUGAACUGCUACAAACAAUGGAGCUUUCUAUUGGAAUUGGAGUGGAAAAAGAACAGCUGAUGUUUUUCUCCCCAACACUAAGACCUGUAACCACUGGUUUCCACAGACCCGAAAAAAUGCUAAAUAUUGUUAGUUUACUCUUUUAAAAACUUUAUUACAGCUGGGCUGGAGAGAUGGCUCAGGUUAAGAGCACUGGCUGCUCUAGAGGACCUGGGUUUAGUUCCCACAAGGUGUAUAGCCCCUGCUUUUGGGGAUCUGGCCUCUGCAGACAUCACGUGUGUGGUUCACAUGUAUCUGUGCAGGCAAAACACUCAUGCAGAAAAUAAAUCUUUGCAGAACUUUGCUACAAAA
rnacentral:lncRNA from 1 species